rnacentral:rRNA from 1 species
AUUACUAAGCGGAGGAAAAGAAAUUAACAAAGAUUGCCUUAGUAAGGGCGACUGAACCGGCAAUAGCUCGAAAUUAAAAUCGAAGAUUCAACGAAUCUCCGAAUUGUAAUCCGGUCCGCCUAAAUACAGAAAAUUGUUCAAUGGCUUUGAAUAGCUGACCAUAGAGGGUGAAAGUCCCGUACAAUAAUUUUCUGAGUAAGGGGGAUUCAAAAAGAGUCGGGUUGCUUGGAACUGCAGCCCUAAAGGGAGAUAAGAUUCUUCCAAAGCUAAAUAUGGAUGGGAGACCGAUAGCGAACAAGUACUGUGAAGGAAAGAUGAAAAGGACUUUGAAAAGAGAGUGAAAAGAUCUGAAAUCGUUGAGAAGGAAGCGGUAGAAACUUACAGUCGACACGAGAAGUCAUGCGUCGCAAGUUGCAGAGCUUUCUCCAAUCGACGGACAAAAUCAAGUCAAGUACGUCAAAAAAGGGAUAACCGAGUAGGACGCACAUGACUUGAGGGAUUACGAUGAUUUUGUCAAAAUGGUUUCUACCGUCCCGUCUUGAAACACGGACCAAGGAGUCUAACAAAUAUGCGAGUGUGCGGGUGGAAAAACCCAUACGCGGAAUGAAAGUAAAAGGUGCGCAGCGCAAGCUCAGCAUCGACCGACCUAGUACGAAAGGUUUGAGUAUGAGCAUAUCUGUUAGGACCCGAAAGAUGGUGAACUAUGCCUGAGUAGGGUGAAGUCAGGAGAAAUCUUGAUGGAGGCUCGUAGCGAUGCUAACGUGCAAAUUGCUCGUCAAACUUGGGUAUAGGGGCGAAAGACUAAUCGAACCAUCUAGUAGCUGGUUCCCUCCGAAGUUUCCCUCAGGAUAGCAGGAACAAAAAUGCAGUUUUAUCAGGUAAAGCGAAUGAUUAGAGGCCUCAGGGCGCUUUUUGCCUUGUCCUAUUCUCAAACUUUAAAUUGGUAAGAACUCUUGGUUAAACUUAAUUGAACCUGGAGACAGAAUGCGUGUUCCUAGUGGGCCAUUUUUGGUAAGCAGAACUGGCGAUGAGGGAUGAACCUAACGUCGAGUUAAGGUGCCCAACUGUACGUUCAUCAGAUACCACAAAAGGUGUUGAUUCAUCUAAACAGCAGGGCGGUGGACAUAAAAGUCGUUACCCGCUAAGGAGUGUGUCAUGACUCACCUGCCGAAUGAAUUAGCCCUGAAAAUGGAUGGCGCUAAAGCGUACGACCGAUACUCGACCAUCAUUGCAAAAGGCUGCAUUGAUGAGUAGGAGGGCGUGGAUGUUGUAUGAAGCCUCUGGCGUGAGCCUGGGUGGAACGGCAUCUAGUGCAGAUCUUGGUGGUAGUAGCAAAUAGCCAAUUGGAAACGUUGGCGGCCGAAGUGGAGAAGGGUUCCCUGAGAACAGCAAUUGGUCAGGGGUUACGCGGUCCUAAGUUCCUGGUUAAACCUAUAUAAGGCGCUCUAUAGCGCGGAACGAAAGGGAAUCAGGUUGAAAUUCCUGACGCUGGGUAAGAUUCGUGGCAACAGAAACUAGCUCAGAGACGUCAGCACGUGCUCCUGGAAGAGUUUUCUUUUCUUCUUAACAAGCAGGCGGCCUUGAAAUUGGAUUACCCAGAGAGAAGGCUGUAAGCUUGGCAGAGCACCUCGACUUUCAGAGGUGUCAGGUGCGCUCGUGAUGACCCUUGAAAAUCUGAGCCAGAUAUAUCUUAUCUAGGCCGUACCCAUAACCGC